rnacentral:rRNA from 1 species
GAGUGAUGAAGGUCUUCGGAUCGUAAAACUCUGUUGUUAGGGAAGAAUAAGUACGGACCGAAAAGGUCAGUACCUUGACGGUACCUAACCAGAAAGCCCCGGCUAACUACGUGCCAGCAGCCGCGGUAAUACGUAGGUGGCAAGCGUUGUCCGGAAUUAUUGGGCGUAAAGCGCGCGCAGGCGGUCUUUUAAGUCUGAUGUGAAAGCCCCCGGCUCAACCGGGGAGGGUCAUUGGAAACUGGGAGACUUGAGUGCAGAAGAGAAGAGUGGAAUUCCACGUGUAGCGGUGAAAUGCGUAGAGAUGUGGAGGAACACCAGUGGCGAAGGCGACUCUUUGGUCUGUAACUGACGCUGAGGCGCGAAAGCGUGGGGAGCGAACAGGAUUAGAUACCCUGGUAGUCCACGCCGUAAACGAUGAGUGCUAAGUGUUAGAGGGUUUCCGCCCUUUAGUGCUGCAGCAAACGCAUUAAGCACUCCGCCUGGGGAGUACGGCCGCAAGGCUGAAACUCAAAGGAAUUGACGGGGGCCCGCACAAGCGGUGGAGCAUGUGGUUUAAUUCGAAGCAACGCGAAGAACCUUACCAGGUCUUGACAUCCUCUGACCUUCCUAGAGAUAGGACUUUCCCCUUCGGGGGACAGAGUGACAGGUGGUGCAUGGUUGUCGUCAGCUCGUGUCGUGAGAUGUUGGGUUAANGUCCCGCAACGAGCGCAACCC